AUGGCGGCCGUGGAGCUGGCGGAGUCCGGCGGCGGCCUCAGCGCCCCCGGGGGGUCCUUGAGUCUCCUCUGCAAGGCCUCGGGCUUCAACUUCGGCAGCUACGGCAUGAUGUGGGCGCGGCAACGCCCCGGGAAGGGCCUGGAGUACGUUGCGAGCAUCAGCAACGGUGGUGGCGACACCUUGUACGCGCCGUCGGUCCGGGACCGCUUCACCAUCUCCAGGGACAACGCCCAGAGCACGGUGAGGCUGCAGAUGAACAACCUCAAGGCCGAGGACACCGCCACCUACUACUGCGCCAAAAGUGGUGCUGGUGGUGAGGUUUUUGAGGUAAAAACUUGA